rnacentral:rRNA from 1 species
GAGUUUGAUCCUGGCUCAGAACGAACGCUGGCGGCGUGCUUAACACAUGCAAGUCGAACGAGAAAGAGCUCUUCGGAGCUUGAGUAAAGUGGCGCACGGGUGAGUAACGCGUAGAUAACCUGUCCAGGUGUUCGGGGAUAGCCCUCCGAAAGGGGGAUUAAUACCGGAUACGUUAGUUUGUCAUAAGGCAAAUUAAGAAAGGUGGCCUCUAUUUAUAAGCUAUCGCACUUGGAGGGGUCUGCGUACCAUUAGUUUGUUGGUGGGGUAAUGGCCUACCAAGACUUCGAUGGUUAGCGGGUCUGAGAGGAUGAUCCGUCACACUGGCACUGAAACACGGGCCAGACUCCUACGGGAGGCAGCAGUGAGGAAUAUUGCGCAAUGGGGGAAACCCUGACGCAGCGACGCCGCGUGGGUGAGGAAGGCUUUCGGUCGUAAAGCCCUGUCGAGAAGGGAAGAAAAUGUGUAGUGGUUAAUACC